GGAGGACAGGUGCUGCAUGGCUGUCGUCAGCUCGUGUCGUGAGAUGUUGGGUUAAGUCCCGCAACGAGCGCAACCCUUGCCCUUAGUUGCCAGCAGUUCGGCUGGGCACUCUAAAGGGACUGCCGGUGUUAAACCGGAGGAAGUGGGGAUGACGUCAAGUCCUCAUGGCCUUUAUGACCAGGGCUACACACGUACUACAAUGGCCGAUACAAAGGGCAGCGACACUGCGAGGUGAAGCCAAUCCCGUAAAAUCGGUCUCAGUCCGGAUUGGAGUCUGCAACUCGACUCCAUGAAGUUGGAAUCGCUAGUAAUCGUGGAUCAGCAUGCCACGGUGAAUACGUUCCCGGGCCUU
rnacentral:rRNA from 1 species